GCCUUGAUGGCUCAGUUGGCUAGAGCGCAGGUCUCAUACGAUUGUAUGACUGGAAGAAUUCCAGGUAAUCCUGAGGUCGCAAGUUCGAGCCUUGCUCAGGGCA
rnacentral:tRNA from 1 species